rnacentral:tRNA from 1 species
GCCUGAUGGUCGACAACCUCGGUGCUUCUAAUCCGAUGGUCGCAGGUUCGAAUCCUGCCGGGGGCA